CUCUUGAGAAGUCAUUUAAAAUAUCGUGAUAACUCAGAGACAUCACAUGACCUCAGUCCAAAUCCUGUGAGGUCUAGUCCACAUCUCUUGAGAACUUAUUCCAAAGCUCACGAGAUCUUACUCCAAUGCAAUUUGGGCCGAAAGCUCAUGAGAAGUGGCCAGAACCCCCCCCAGUGAACUCGCUUCCUGCAGCGGGGCACUCAAAGGAGUUGCCUGGGCCUGGCCCGUGGUCCUGCUGGGUUGUGGCAGGAACCUCCCGAGAGCGGGCUCCAAAAGCCAGGAAUGCGCGCAGGUGGCCCAGAUCACCACAGAUGGCCAGCUGCCCUCCCCAGCCUCCGCCCCUGGGGAUCCCGCCUCAGUGCCGGCAGAUGGGGCCUGCCAUGCUCCUAGGCCCGAACCCUAACCCUAGGUUGGGUUUUCAGGUUUCCGUCCCCAGACGCCUGGCCCCCAAGCCCUCCAGACUGGGGACCCCUGAGCCACACCCCAGGACUCUGCAAGGGGCCUGGAAGGUUGCAACACAAACCUAGCGAGAAAGCGCUCCAAACACGGGGCGCGCACAACGCCAGCCAAUUCUGACAGCUGUAAGGCGUGCAGCCUGCUGUAGAUGCUCUCUCCCCCUUUUCUUCUGCCCCUCCCCCGCUCUCUCAAACACAAAAAAGCACAAGGGAGUGAUGUAGCUAUUAAUAAUUUUUACAGAAUUUCAGAAAAUACAAAUCCCUGUCAGAAUCCAUUACUGGGGGCGCCUGGGUGGCUCAGUGGGUUAAAGCCUCUGCC